CCCCGAGCCCGACCGGCCGCGCGCCCCCGCCCCGGCUGGAGCGGCCCCCGAGGCGCGCACGAAAGACCACAACCAUCGCCCGUCUCCCAUCUCCAAGAUGGCGGAGGCUGCUUCAAACUCACCUCUCGCGAGGAGUUCGUCCUACUGUCUCUGAUUAGCCCUAAGGUCAGAGAUAGAAAACUGUAGUCCUUGGGAAAGCUGUGACUCAGUGAAUGACAACAAUGAUGACGCUCUAGCCAAUUUAUGGGUGGUCCAAAGGAUACCAUCUGCUAAUGCAUAUAUCUGCCCUACGAAAAGCCUCAGUAGAGCCAAGAAGAGUGAGGUGGCAGAACUAAUUCUUUAAUGAAGGACCUAUGGCCUGGUCUCAGUGUUGCUGGCGGAUACCUUAAGAUGAUGAGAGGUGGUAUUGGCAAAAAAGCUUCAGUGUUGACUGCCUAGUGUCACACAUCAAAUCAGCGGUGAAGCAGUACCAAAAAAAAAAUCAAUUUUCCUCCUGACCAUGUGAUAAAAAGUCAAAUGUGAAAGAGGUAGAAGUUGGGAAUCUAGAAGCAAGAAAGAAGAGAAAAACCUGAACUUCUCUCUCUACACCAAAAAAAAGGGCAGUGAUGGGGGCAAAGUGGAUAGCCAGAACAAAGGCUGAAAGUGGGGUUGCAAGAGGAAGCAAAAGUAAAUAUAUGCGUUCAACUUGACGUCUUUACCUGGAAGCUCUCUAUCCUUUGUAGGACUUCACUGUGCACACUGGAAGACUUCCCAAGGAAAUGCUGUCUUUUUACAAGUUCAUAACUUGUUAUCAGAAAGGGUCUUCUCUCUAGUGUUACUCUUGCCUGAGCAACCUAGCUUAGCCCUCCUGUGUUCCCUAUGCUGAUUCUUCCAGAUCAAAUAAAUGUCCUGAAUUCAGAAGAAGCAAUGACAAUCAAAUUGAAGAGACCCAGGUGACAUACUUAAAUCAAUCAGAAGACAGAUCCACCUAAAUAAGAUGCUGGGAAAGAUGACUCAAUGACUUUAAUCUGGGGCACAAUCUCUCUAAAUCUGUGUAUUUGUAAAAUGGGAAUAAGACCUCAUACGACUGCUGGAGAAUCAAAUAACAUAAGAGGAAAGGGGAGUAAUAACAUCUACUCCUCACACAAAUGCGGAUGCUGAUAUGACAACAGUUACCUGUUCUGAUUGAAGCUGCUCCCGAAGCACCCUCACUAGCUCUUGGUUUUCUGGGUGAAUGUUUUGAUGUGCGUUUCUGUUGAAUAAAAUAGAAUAAACUUUAAAUAUAAAAUA